UACAGAGGUCUCAAGCGUUGUUCGGAUUCAUUGGGCGUAAAGGGUGCGUAGGUGGCGAUGUAAGUCUGGUGUGAAAUCUCGGGGCUCAACCUCGAAAUUGCAUUGGAUACUGCGUUGCUUAGGAUUGUAGAGGAGAGUGGAAUUCACGGUGUAGCAGUGAAAUGCGUAGAUAUCGUGAGGAAGACCAGUUGCGAAGGCGACUCUCUGGGCAAUUCCUGACACUGAGGCACGAAGGCCAGGGGAGCAAACGGG
rnacentral:rRNA from 1 species